AGAAGACAAAGUGCAUGAAGAGCCAGCAUGCGAGGAGGGAGAGACAAUGGAGGAAGAAACCGGACACUCGGCGGAUGCCGCAGAACCAGAGAUCAGUGAAACGAAUAUAGAAGAGUAAAGCCUUUUUAUGACAUCUGGUCAUUGGCAUGGACACUUUCAUACUGCUGGGGGUGUGUUUUUGAAGCAAAAGAGAGUAUAUUCAAUUGUACAACAAUGUUCUGUCUGACGUCAUCUUGCCAAGCCUUCAGCAAGUAGUUGUAGCCUGCGGAGCUCUAGUACACAAUAAUGUUGUGCCUUAUCUACAGCAUCAAUGGGGUGUUGGGACUGUUUCCUUUAAUUAAACGCAGCCGUUUUAUCAGCUUCUCGGUCACCUGUUUCAAGGUACGGACGAAGAAUUAUAGCGUCAAUCAAAGGAUUAAACCCCACAUGCACUCUGUCGUCUCCAACACACGCAAUAUUCAUUUCUGCUUCACGGAAUUGUUUAGCUCAAGUCAAUAAAUGACCCCUUCUGGUCAAAUUA